CAGUUUUAUCCCUAGUGCCCAACACUCACCAUAGCACCCAAAGUAAGGGCCACAAGCAGUCUGGCACACCCAGCACAUUCUAGAGUCCAACGUUUCUCUGUUUUUCUUGAACUUGGUUAAAAUCCUCCGGGACUUCUCCUACAUAUAUAAAUGUCCCUUAAACAUAGUUAUUGAAGGGAGUUCGACCCUGGCAUAGGAGAAAUGCUGCUAGAACAAUUUAGGAGCCAAAAAUCACAGAGUUUUUCUUUUUUUAAUUGGGUCUGUGACACACCGAUUGAUAGGCCUAAUGAGAAUGUGUAUUCUACAUUAGAUUGAGUUUGCUUACUCAAUGCAGCAUUUGCUUUGGUGUGUUGGGUGGAGUUGAUUUUAUUCAUGCCUUGAUAUAUUUCAUGUGUUACUCUCUUUUGGUAUGAUGGUUUGUGAGAUUAUUCCGUUUUUUGCACGUAUGUUGUGGCCCUAUUUAGGCCUUGUCAUGAUAUAUGAGUGGGAUGACUGAGAUGCUGUUUUACUUAUUGCAUCGUAGUUGUGCUUUCCUUUUCGUAGCGCAUUAUGCUAUCCAUCUCUCCAUAAUUAUAUUAUGCACUUUACGUGCUUGUUGUUGAGACACACAUUCUUGGUGAGUAUGAGAAUUAUUGCCCAAUAGUUAUUCUCAUGUAGAUUGAUAUGUGUGGAUCGGGUUUCACCACAACGAUAUUAUGUGUGGAUUGGGUUUCAUACUACAGUAGAGUUUUGUUGAACAUAAUUAAUUAUUCUCAUUUUGUAUGUUUUGUUUCUCGCCUAUAUUUGACCCCGAAGUGGGUGAAAAGGCUUCUUUGAUGGUCGUAUGGGUGAAUAUUAAGAAUAGCCCACCAUCAUCCAAGAAGUGCAAAUCAAGCAAGGCGGUCACUAGCGGUCCUUCUUCAAAAGGCACAAGCCAAAAAGUUAUGUUGAUAUAAUCCUCAAGCAAAUAGGUUUGAUGUUUGACUUAUUUGUCUUGGAUAAAAUUGAUGAACAAUCUGGUGAUAUAAUACCUCGGUGAUCAAAUUUGCAUCCGUGAUCACCCAGGAACUCCUACCCGUUAUUCAAAAGGACUGCAGAUCGAUAAAUAUAUCAAUUUUCACAGCAUUAAUAUUGAUGAGUAACUCACUAUCUAUCAUCUCGGACACUAUUUUGUUUAUACUUACCAUUUCACUAUCGGGUUCUCACUUCCCAUAGACUCGGUCAAUCAAGAUACAUGGUGGAGAUAUUGGAUUUCCUAGCUCAAACAGGUCUAAUAAUCUAGAGGUUAGUUGUCUAUCUCUACUAGCUAUCCACUUUAGCUUACGUGCCAUUUACCUUGUAACAUCUUAUUCACCUUUUCCCCCUAAGAUUUACUAGGGUGGUACACUCACUGUGAACCAUCGGGGUAUGAUGUCUCUGAUCAUUAAUUGUAAUGACGAGCGUGAAUAUAGGGGUUUAGAUAGAUAAGUCAUAAUAUCAACCCUGUGUCUCAUCAAUUCGGAGAAGAUUCCUUUUUCAGAGAAGUGGAACCCUAACCAUAAGUACCCUUUCUUAAAUCUUCUAUCUAUGUUAUCUCAUGGGUUCCUCUCACUCCCUUCUUUUGGAUUGUAGUUAUUCCCCUUGAAUUUAUGGAUCGACGAUAUAGAAGAGCAGGUGUCCUAGAUCAUGAGGGCUUUUUCCAUGGCAGUCCUGACUUAGAAAAACAUUGGUUUUGGCCUUAAGCUGAGAGUAAAAACCCACAGACUUCAACUUCAUGGUCCCUCGGUGAGAAAAAGAAAAAGCGCGAGAAGUGAUAACCUCCCCUAGAAUUUCCAGAAGCUGGGUGACUCCAGUGUAGCACUCAUUAAGCCUCCUUCUAUUAGUUCCUCUUUGAAAAGAAAGAGGAUAGCUGAGAAAAAAGAUAAAUGUUCGAAGAUUGAUAAGAAUUGUCCCCAACUGAGCCAUUUGGCUACUCGCUACCAUCAUGGUGAAGAAGUAGAGAAAAAUAAGGUCAUGGUAGAAGUCAAUUCGUAAGAGUAUACUUAACCCAGAUUUGAGAAGUUAAACCCUAAUCUGGACAAGGGUUCUGAAUUUCAUAUUCCCCAAGGGCUACUUGAUGAGGGGAUGUAUCUUAUCUAGAUCUUGUAAUCCAGAAGGAGGGGUGCUCAAGAUCGUUCUCAAGACCUUCUGGAUCUGCCCUAAAUAAUCUCUUCUCUUCCGAGUCACAUGGUCAACACGUUGUGACAAUGAAGCGCAUGCUUAGGAUACUUUCACUGGACCUUCUGUUGAUCCGAGUGAGCAUACUAUUUUUUUCACCCUACCUAACAAUGUUAACCUUAGAGCAGAGCCUCGCCAUGUAGAUAAGUACCUUUACUAAAUUUCUAGUCCUAUCAAACAUGAACAGAGGGCAUAGUAUGAUACAAAGAGGUUGAUGACACAGUUGACAGAUAGAACCAUCAGGCAUGAAUGGUUGUAUCUAAAAGCUCUAAAGAGGUAUGUACGGAUAAGGCCAAAUUUAAUAAGAUCAAAGGGUUGAAAGCUGAGGUCGAAGGGCUCAAAGCAGAAAAAUAAGCCUUGAUGCUAAGGACAGAGACCACAAAACAGAGUUCGGAGAGGCAGUAGAAAGAACUCUAGGGUAUUCAUUUUAUGUACAUACAAGAUCUUUCCAAAGCCGAUGAGAAGAUCCGAACUCUCACGGAUGAACUGGCUAAGAAUGAGAAGGUUGAGCUUCAAUCUGUAACGGAGCAUUCCCGGAUAUAGGACAGAGAGGAGGAACUGGAGUUUGUACUUUCCCUUUUGGAUGAACUUUUCCAAUAUAGUGGUGCCGAGAGAGCUGAAUUUCAAGAGGCUUAUGAUGCGUUGGACCAACGACUCCUACAAAUAAACAAAAAAGCUAAUGUUAACAAGAAUUGGGUUUCUUUAGAAUCCCGACUAGUGUUCCCCAUGAGGUUUAUGCCGCGAAGUCGGAUAUUGAAAGGGGAAUCAUGGAUCAUGAGGGCAAAUAAAGAACCUCAGACUGUCUUAGGUUAUCCUUCUCCCGACACUCGAGAAUACAACCUUGAUAUAGGAGAGAAUAGUUCAGGAAGAGACCUGGACGAUAUUGACGGAAGAGAAGAGAUUUUGGAACAUCUAUUUUCUUUACCUCUCUCGGCCACUCUACUUCCGGACGUUCUUCUUCCUUAAGACUUCCAGACCGACCCUAUUCCGGAACCCAUAGAUAAUAGGCCCAAUACACCUUAGAUGCCACCUUUUGUACAUCCCAUUUGUGGGAUUAUCAUGAAUGAGAAUUUUGUGACAAGUUUGUUGCUUUGAAUC